rnacentral:ncRNA from 2 species
CUGACCACGCACGACUGGCGCGGGUGGGAAUUACCACCGGGGAGUGCACAUCGCGAGGCAUCGACCGCCUGGGUGCUUCAC